GUCCCGGGCGGCCGCGCGAGCGGCGUUUGUGCUGGGGGAUCGCUAGCCUGUUCCCCAGCCGGGCAGCCAGCCAGAGCUGUAGGUGGUUCCGAGUCCGCCUUUUUAAAAGUAGAACUGCCACUGUGGCGACGGAAGGAGGCGUAGCUAUGUGGCAACCAUUUUAAGAAAGGAGACGCUUUGAAUUUAAUUCCAGAAGGCUACGUUCAGGCCAGUUGUUGUCCUGCUUUUUUCUUUGCUUGGCUUUGUGAGCAGCCAACUAUUUUGAUUUCAGAGGUUCGUCACCUUAAAUUGGGCAUCCGGCAGACCUAAGCAGGUAGUGAGGCGACGGGCGGGCCUCUUUGUUAACGGCAGCCCAGCCUAUCGGCGGCUCCACAGGGCGUGCGCCUCCGGACUGGCCAAUCGCCGUACGACUCGACCCACCUUCCGCCAUGCUAACGCUGGGCAUGUGCCGCAGCGGCAAGACCUAGAGAGGCGUAUUCGUCCGCCUUGGUUGAGGGCGUUGCGCAGCGGUGCUGGCCGAUUCUCCUGGGCCCACGUGGAAGCAGCGCUCAGGAUGCUGCGCCGGGAGGCCCGCCUGCGCCGGGAGUACCUGUAUCGGAAGGCCCGCGAGGAGGAGCGGCAAGCGGCGCAGGACCGGAAGGAGAAGGUGCGGCGGGCGCUCGAAGAGAACCGUCUGAUUCCAACUGAGUUGCGCAGGGAGGCUCUGGCGUUACAGGGGUCCCUGGAGUUUGAUGAUGCCGGCGGUGAAGGUGUGACCAACCACAUGGAUGAUGAAUAUCGAUGGGCAGGGGUUGAAGAUCCCAAGGUCAUGAUUACUACCUCACGAGACCCCAGUUCCCGCCUUAAGAUGUUUGCAAAGGAGCUGAAAUUGGUGUUCCCAGGUGCCCAGCGCAUGAACCGUGGCCGGCAUGAGGUUGGGGCACUAGUGCGAGCCUGCAAAGCCAAUGGGGUCACUGACCUGCUGGUUGUCCAUGAGCACCGAGGCACACCUGCCACUUGCCUUUCGGUCCCACUGCUUACUUCACACUCUGCAACGUGGUCAUGCGGCAUGACAUCCCCAACCUGGGCACCGUGUCAGAGGCCAAGCCUCACCUCAUCCUGCAUGGCUUCUCCUCCCGCCUGGGCAAGCGGGUCUCUGAUAUACUCCGUUACCUGUUCCCUGUGCCCAAAGAUGACAGCCACCGGGUUAUCACCUUUGCAAACCAGGAUGACUACAUCUCCUUCAGGUGGGUGUGUAGGCUGGGCCCUAGUGGGUGUUCUGACAUUUGUGUCCCUGUACUGUUUGUUCACCCGCAGCUGCUUCCUGCCUCUCCUCACCCCUGCCAUGUGCCCCUUGCUCCAGGCACCAUGUGUACAGGAAGAAUAAUCACAGAAGUGUGGAGCUGACUGAGGUUGGGCCCCGCUUUGAGCUGAAGUUGUACAUGAUUCGCCUGGGCACGCUGGAACAGGAGGCCACAGCAGAUGUGGAGUGGCGCUGGCACCCCUAUACCAACACUGCACGAAAGAGGGUCUUCCUAAGUGCUGAGUGAGCCCACUCGCCAGUCAGGAUGUGAACCUGGACCUGGGAGGUGGGGAGGGGUCAGAAUAAAGUCUGUGUGCCACGUGCUCUGUUUGCUCCUGAGUGUUUGGGACAGGCCCACUGUCUGGCUGAGUAUGAAGGACGAUGACCAUGGGGUAUCUUUAGGUGGGGACUUGACAGAUCUGGAACAUCCUUGGAUCUAGGAUAAGGCUAGCCUGGCAUGCCGGCUUGCCCCAUAGCACUGCGGAGGCUUUGGUGUUAGCUGUGGCAGCUGUGGUAUUGCCGUCUCCUGGGAGUCAGAGGCCCUAUGAUAGCCCAUCACUGGGCGUGGGCCCGGUAAUGGGGCACGUCAUGUUUGCUCAGGACUGAAUGGAGCAGGGUGGGACCCACUCAGUGCUCAGCAGGAUCCCUCCACCCUCCUGGCACACACUGCUCUCUUCAUUGGGGACAUAGUGUGCCACCUGCUGCACACCUCUCCACCUCCCAUCAGGGAGGGGUUUGUCUGAGGUCACAUGGUGGACGGGAGGCAUUGCUGCCCAGGAGAGGUAGGGAUCUUGUCUAGCCUUCCAUAUUCAUUCCCUUCGCCCUUCCUCUCUGCCCACUCCUAGUUUGUACCCAAGGACUCUGGCUUUACAAGGAAUGGGUGUCAAAACCUUACAGACUGCACACAAAUUGACAUGGAGUGGAGUGAUGAUUCUAAGAAAGAAAUCCAUCCCACUAGGGAUGUACAUUUGUGUAGCCCUUAUACCUCAUGCAAACUCAUGCAAAGUCUAUGAAGAAACAAGUCAGAUGUGGGAGUAGAGAGUGAUGGAGGCCUAUGCGGUUGCCUAAGAGCUACAGGAUGGCCCAAAGCAGCAGGAGACUUUGAGGUGGACAUUGCGCAUAAGGGUUACGUUACUGGGAGCCCUGCCAGUAAACGGGUCUUGAGGGAUAACAGAGGACCUACUGGGCCGGCCAUGGCAUUUAGGAAGAACAAGAGGUAGGACUUCAUGGGAUGUCUCUAGCUUCUGGCCCUUAGGUGAAUUCAGUUCCUUCUGCAGGGCUUUCCAGGACCCCUCCCAGCUUGCCACAGCCUUACUUCACAAGUGAGUACACUAUUAAGAUUGUAAGUUAUCGAAAUCCCAGUAUAUGUACAAAAAUAAAAGUAAUACAAUGCAUUAGUUUCCUCUGGUUCCAUGACAAAUUGUCAUAAGCUGAGUGGCUUAAAACCACAGAUGUUCUCUCAUGGUUCCCAAGGCAAGAACUCUAAGAUAAAAGUGUCAGCUCCAUCUCCAACCCCUUCUUCAGUGUCUGGUGGCUGCCAGCUCUGGUGUUCUUGACUUGUGACUGCGUCAAGAUAGUCUCUGCCUUUGUCUUCACAUAGCCUCCCUCUACUGUAUGUCUCUUAUAAGGACACUUGUCAUUGGAUUUAUAGCCCAUCAGAAAAUCCAGGAUGACUUUUUCAUUUCAAGAUUCUGAGCUUAAUCACAUCUGCAAAGACUCUUUUUCCAAAUCACUAUCACGGUUUCCCAGAAACUAGGCUGUGGACAUAACUUUUGGAGGCCACAAUUCAUCCAACUGCAUGUGCCCAUGCCUCACCUUCAGUAGACAUGUUUUGUGUAUCCCUUACACCUCAUGCAAAUUCAGGCAGGGUGAGGAUGCCUCCUGCUCACUCAGCAUCCUCCCACGUGAGCAUCAUGAGGUAUGGCUGUGUUUACUGUUUACCAAGUGCAGGGCAUGCCCUUGUUCACUAGUGAUUUAUUUUUUGAUAAUCUAAGCACAGAAGUCUCAGUGCAGAGUUUGGUGCUGUGGGCCAGCUCUUAGCCAGGGUCAGACAGAAGAUAAGCAAGAUGCAAACCAUUUAAACUCCACUGUGGUCUCCACUGCAGUAAAGAAGCCUUUGAGUAAUUCAGGUUGGUCACAGAACCCAACACACUCAGGCUCACCAGCAGUGGAGGGCUUUAUGAAGGACAGGUCUGCAUUUUGCUCAUCAGCUGUGUUUAAGCCACUGGGGGGUGGGUAGUAUCUAAUGUUGGUGACACUUGGGAGAAAUGACCCUGAUAGCCUGCUGGUGGAAGAACCUGUGGGUAAAGUCCAGCAAGUUUUUUUAGCAUUUAAAAUGUCCUACUUUUUUGAGUCUGCUUCCUAGGGUCAGAAGUGGUCUCUGGGAUGCUACUGGAGACAGUUUGGGCACAGCUUUGCCUGGGUGUUAGAGCAAGGGAGUUUGUAAAAUGAGGCUAUGUAAUGACGGUAAUUAAAGAGAGAAGUUGGGGGAAAUGUCCACUGUAGCACCUGGGGUAUUGCACAGAUAAUGUCCUGAAGGCUCAUGGGGAUCCUUGGAUUUGAGGGGCAGUACAACGCUAAAGGGAUAUUUGUGCAUCUUUUGUUAGACUACCCUAGAAGAGAUCAGUUAGUACUUGUGUAAUCUUGAAAUGCAAAGGACGAAAUGGAGAUAAGGCAGGCCUGGGCUUUGGUGUUCAGUGUGAGCACCUUUCCAGGCUGGACAUCAGUGGCGGAACAGAGGGCUGUUGUGCUUGGGCUUACCUGAUACUCCAGUUUUAGGAUUCUUCUCUAUAUUCAGGAAUAUUAACAAGUGGGGAAUACAAGUUGAGGUGUGUGGGAGAUCUGUGUCCUAUUUUUUCAACUUUUGUAUGAACAACAUUAUUUCAAAAUAAAAAAUUAACAAGUUUUAACAAAAUUACAGUUAAUCUUUUUGGUUGACCUGGCAGUGGUGUUACUUUAGAAAAUGUCUUUAGUUAUUAAGAGACAGGGUGAAGUAUUUGGGGGUGAAAUAUUAGCCACGUACUUCUUGAAAAUGCUUCUGCAGAAGUGGAAAAAGUAGCUGAAGCAAAAUACUGUCAUAUUUAGGUGAUACAAAUGAGUUUUGUUAUAGUCUUUCCACUUUAAUGUGUGUUGUAAAUUUUUCGUGUAAAGAAUUAAAGGAAAAUAAUUAAAAAUG